rnacentral:rRNA from 1 species
CCUACGGGAGGCUGCAGUAAGGAAUAUUGGACAAUGGCCGCAAGGCUGAUCCAGCCAUCCAGCGUGCAGGAAGAAGCCCUAUGGGUUGUAAAUGCUUUUGUCAGGGAAUAGGUACCUGAAGAAUAAGCACCGGCUAACUCCGUGCCAGCAGCCGCGGUAAUACGGAGGGUGCGAGCGUUAUCCGGAAUUACUGGGUUUAAAGGGUGCGUAGGCGGCUUUGUAAGUCAGGAGUGAAAGUUUGCGGCUCAACCGUAAAAUUGCUUUUGAUACUGCGAGGCUAGAAUUAGGAUGAGGUCAGCGGAAUGUGGCAUGUAGCGGUGAAAUGCAUAGAUAUGCCAUAGAACACCAAUUGCGAAGGCAGCUGGCUAGACCUGGUUGACGCUGAGGCACGAAAGCGUGGGGAGCGAACAGGAUUAGAUACCCUUGUAGUC